rnacentral:rRNA from 1 species
CCUACGGGCGGCAGCAGUGAGGAAUAUUGGUCAAUGGCCGGAAGCCUGAACCAGCCAAGCCGCGUGAAGGACGAAGGUGCCAAGCAUUGUAAACUUCUUUUGUCAAGGAACAAAGUCAGGCACGAGUGCCUGACUGUGUGUACUUGAUGAAUAAGCAUCGGCUAACUCCGUGCCAGCAGCCGCGGUAAUACGGGGGAUGCGAGCGUUAUCCGGAUUUAUUGGGUUUAAAGGGUGCGUAGGCGGAUUGUUAAGUCAGCGGUAAAAGCCCGGGGCUCAACCCCGGCAAGCCGUUGAAAGUGGCAGUCUUGAGAUGUCGAGAGGUAUGCGGAAUGCGUGGUGUAGCGGUGAAAUGCUUAGAUAUUGCGCAGAACUCCGAUUGCGAAGGCAGCAUACCGGCGG